rnacentral:rRNA from 1 species
GUCUACGGCCAUGCCACCCUGAACAAGCCCAAUCCUGUCUGAUCUCAGAAGCUAAGCAGGGUUGGACUUGGUUAGUACUUGGAUGAGAGACCACCUAGGAAGACCAGGUGCUAUAGGCA